CCGGGGCCUGGAGCUGGGGACGCGGGCCGGGGCCGGGAGUUGCGGACUCGCUGGCGGGUGGGAGGAGCGGAGUCGGGGCGAGGCUGGCGGAGAUCCAGGGGAUCGCCCGGUUGGGCCCUGCGCACCCCGGAUCACCAGCUUCGGGCGCUGGUUCCCACCGAGGCUGUUCAGGCGCCGCUCCCCCGCGUCCCUGCGACAGGAGGCGCCUGCUGGGCGCGCUAUGGACCCCGCCUCGCGGAGACGCCUGGCUCGGGCCUUGUCCCCAGUGAGCGGCUGGAGCGGCCGCGGGGUCGCAGAGCCUCCGGGACCCCGAGGAAGGGCGCCCCUCGGAGUUGCCCGAGGCCGGGCCCGGCGUCCACUCGCCACUCGCCUCGCCCCUCCCCGGCCCCGCACCGCCCUCCACCCCGCCUCCUUCGGGUUCCUUCUGCGUCCGGCAGAGCCUGCGCGCCUCCCCCGGACGGCCACGGACUCGCAGCCUCGGCGAGGACGCUGCCUGCGUCCCGACUGCCUGGACCUCCCCGCGUGGCUCCCGGCGAAGCCCAGCAGCCGGAGGGUGCCAGGUCCGCCUGACGCGCCCCUCCCCACGGGAAGAACGGGGCGGGGGUCCAGGAGGGACGUAAGCCGGGCUCCCCCGGCGUGUUGAUCCGAACCCGCGCGGGAAAACUUGCGCAAACCAAAGGAGGGAAGAGUCAGGCAGCCCCCAGCCCCCCAGGGAGGCCCAGGUGAAAAACAGACGCCGGCCUCGCCUCUCCCGGUGCGGAUGAUCCCGGCACUCCCACCCCCGCCCCUGCUGCCCCGAGUUCGGCUCCCUCAGCCCCACAUCCUCUCUGGUCAUCUAAGUGGACUGCAGCUGCUCAGGGAGCAUGUCGCGAAGGAUAGGGAAGGACAGGGGGUCUGCUUCCCCAGCCGCCCUCCAGACCCCCAGGGCUGGUAGGGGCCGGCAACCCUAUGCCCCAACCUGGCCUGCUGCAGGUGAGGGGGGCACACCAGGGUAACACAGGAGCAGGAGGGGGAGAAAGCCUGGCUAGAGCAUCCACCUCAUAGGCACCUUCCUUGUGUCCAGGGUGCAGAUGCCAGGGCUCUGAGGCCCUGAGGUCCUGUCUGGGGCGAGGGGGCUUCCUCCAUCCACUGCAUCCACUGCCCGGCUGAGUCUAGAGGCCACUGAGCAAGCAGACCCUCCAAAGCCAGGCACACUCAGGCCCUCACAUGGUCACGGUGCUUAUGCUCUGGGCCAGCCUGGAUUGCUCAUCCCUAGCUGAGAUUGGGAUUCACAGGGUCUUCCAGUUCCCCCUUUUCUUUCUCUACUGAUUGAGAAACACAGAGUCCUUUGAUUGCUCUGGGACCUGGCCAUUGCGUGUUCCCUGCAGCCUUGAACCCAGUUCAAUGGGGCCGGGCACAUUCCCUGAUAAAGCUGUUUAGGUUGCUUGAAAACACAAUCAACCCUAUUGCUAAACACGUAGAAACUGGCCCUGCCCUGAGUCCAAUCCCUUAAACUCUCAUCUAAGCUCCAUAGCCAGAGUCCCUUGCUGCAAAUGUACCUGGGUGGAGCAUCCCUUGCCUCAUCAUCGAUCCCAAGAAAGCUGAAGCUCCAUGUGAAAAUUUCCGGAAGAAAUGCUCUGGACUGAUCACCCUGGCGUUUAGAGCUUCUUUCCUUGGAAUCCCAACCAAUUCCAUCGCGGGACUGUUUGGGGAAGUCUUUUGAGGCAACUCCCUUGCUGCCACUUUUGGGGCAACUCUAGCCUCCUCAUAUUUGGCCAGAUAGAACAGUUCCAAGCUGUAAAUGUUUCCAGGAAAAAAUCUCAACUACAAAGACACUUUCAAGGUGCUGCAUUUCCAACAGCACUCUCCGUAUCCGAGUGGACAGCCCAGAGCAAUGGUGCUUCCAAUCCACAGAGCCCCUCCACAGGUCCCUUGCCAUCUGCAGACACCCACAUCUCAAGCCAAAUCAAGAGAGACUGGAGGCUUGUGCCAGCUGGGCAUCUUUGGGGGUGAGAUCUUGGCAGCCGCUUCCUACCCUUCAAGUGUCCUGUGGGCAGCCCGCCUGGCUAGCUGGGUAUGAGGGUCCGCCGGUUCAGGCCCUGCCUGCUGCACCUCCCCAGGCUCACUCCAGGCCUCUGGACUGUUUUCCUCAAGCAGGAUUUCCAGCCUGCAAACCUGAGCUAAUCUCCCUGCUGGAAUGAGGGGAGGCGCCCUGGAUCCUCACCCGGCCAGAAACGGGGGAGAGUGCUCCCAAGGGACCCUAGCAGAGGUGAGUGAGCGUGAACAGGGUGGACACAGCUCCACUGCCAUAGGCCAGGCCACAACUUGGAGUGGGCCUGGGAGCUCAGAAGUUUCGGAGGACAGAGAACUAGGAGCCAGGAGCCUCCAAGAGCCACAGCGCCCACCUCACGGAGGGCUGGGGCAGACAGCUGGCCCCACCUGGGCACCAUGCCAUACAGAGACCCACGAGUGCCAGAGCAGCCACAGGACUGGGGUUUUGGGAACAGCAGUAGAGGCUGCUGCGCACACACAGAGGAGGAUGGCACAGAGGCCCUGGAGAUGGAGGCUCUGCUGUGCGUUGGGGAUGGCCGUGCUGCCAUCACACCAGGGAUGUCCAGGGGGAGGCAGCCUCAGGAAGCAGUGCCACACGGGCUGGUUAUGAGUCGACAGUGAGGCUUCCAGCUUGAGGACCCGGUGACAUGGGCUGGGAGAGGGUAUCUACUGCCGUGACCUUGGAGGGUCUUCUCUGUGCCUGCUGUUCAGGGCACCAGGGGUCCUGAGGGGAGAUGGUCGGUCAGGGAGGAGCAGCCUGAAUGACAGCGAUUGGCUUUGCCCUGGUGCAGGGACUGUGGUCAUUCCAGGUGAGGGUGAGGAGAAGUGAGGUCAGGUGAGGCUGGGUUUCCAGGCCCUUCAGCAGCACAUGGCCGUUUGAAGUGCAUCUCAGGAGGCAAGGGAUCCUUCCCUGGGUUCAAGCAGGAGAAACCUGGGGUUCGAUUAGCAGCUGUUAGGACCUCCAUGUUGUCAUAUUGGUCAUUCGGGGCCUGUUGUUGAACAGGAACAGCUGCAUUGCUGGUGGGGGCUGUACCAUGGAGGAGAGGGGGAGCUGUCAAUCAACCACCAUUGCAGACUCUGCAGCACCCGAGUGGCGACAGAGAUGGUGUGGUGAGAGGUUGGUGGGACUGCUGAGGUGCCCAGGACCAGAGGGGCUCAGCACAGAGGGGUCCAGGCCGGGUCUGUCCCCCCAGGACAGAGACGCAGUUUGGGUCUAGGUGGGGGUCUGUCCAUCAGCCUUGGGCUUGUGGCUGGGGAUGGCUGAGAUUUGACUGUUGUUUCUUUGCAGUCUUGGGGUUUGGGAGUAGAUUUUGAAUUUGAGCAGGUGUAGAGACAAGAAGUUUUCAAGAGUUUCAGAAAAAGGAGUCAGCCGGGCACGGUGGCUCGUGCGUAUAAUCCCAGCACUUUGGGAGGCCAAAGAGGGCAAAUGGCUUGAGCUCACGAGUUCUAGAUCAGACGGGGCAACAUGGCAAGACCCUGUCUCUACAAAAAAUACAAAAAUUAGCCUGGCGUGGUGGCGGGUGCCUGUAGUCCCAGCUACUCAGGAGGCUGAGGCAGGAGAAUCACUUGAACCUGGGAGGCGGAGGUUGCAGUGAGCCAAGAUCACGACACUGCACUCCAGCCUGGGUGAUGGAACCAGACCUUGUCUCAAAAAAAAAAAAGAAAAGAAAGAAAACAAAGGAGCCAGGAGGCCACGGCUAGAGCCCAGGGCAGAAACCCUCAGCCGGUAGCUCAGACCUCAAGCCAGGUUGUGAGGACUGUAGCCCUGGCUAGGGGCGUGGAGCCCGUGGACGGCCGGCCAUUCUCAGUGGAAGUUAGAGGGAGGAGAAGGGGACGUCCUGGUGUGAUGGACAAGAGGAGGGUGUCCUAGAGGAGGGAGGGUGGCCGGCCACCAGGACUGGACCUGAGUCUUGACUCAUCAUUGAGGCCCAGAUUGUUUCACAGAAGGGGGGCCUGCUCACCAGCUCUCCCCAGCUCACAAAGACCCACGAACGCGGAGGGGCCUCUCUCCAGCUCUCCCCAGCUCACAAAGACCCACGAACGCGGAGGGGCCUCUCUCCAGCUCUCCCCAGCUCACAAAGACCCACGAACACCGAGGGGCCCUGGAGCUGCCGGAUGAGCCGGCUUGGAUUGCUGGGCCAUGUCGAUGCAGGCGACAGCCGGGGCACAGGGCUUGUGAGGCCCAACAGUGUCUUGCCUCCUUGGGGUGGACUCUGAGAACAGACAGCUCCAGAGCUUAGAGCCUGGCAGGUGAGAGGCACUGGGGGUGCCUGGUGGGGCCUCUCUGGCAGCUGCUGACAGGCUGGUCCUGAACUCCUGGCCGCAGCUCUGGCUGCCUCCACAUCAGCGGCAGGUGCAGCCGUCAGGUGUGUCUCACGGCAGGUGAAGGUUGUUCUCAGGCCUCAGGGCCCCGGAGUCCUCAUCUGGCCCCCACUGGUGCCCUCCCCAUCUUCCUCGCCAGUGCCCUUUCAGACCUGUGACCCCUUGGUCACUCUUAUGUGGCCUGCGGCGUGAAUGACAGUUUUCCCUCACAGGCCUGUCUCCAGCUGAGCACCUCUGAGCUCCCCUAGACUCCUUGGGGGCAGGGUCAGAGUCUCCCAUGACCUCGAGUCCUCCAGGGACCAGUGCCCCACAGGUCCAGCCUGCAUGGGGAUAGGCAGAGCCAGAGAGUGGCCACAGGCCUGCUGCGGCAAGAAGGCAGGUGGCACGUGAGCCACCGCACCCGUCCUUCCCGGGCUGGUGGUAUCUGCCUGUGUCCCUGUGCUUAUGGCUGCUGGCGUAAACGUAGUUACUGGCCCCUCGUAGCAGGCCUCAAGGACUCCGUGGGCCCUACCUGUGCUCCUGUGUUUCUUGUGGCUGGGGCAGCAGCAGGCUGUGAGAAGCUCCUCCUUCAUACGAGGGUUUCAGACCAUGCUGGGUGUGCCAGGAUGCCUUCGUGGGCAGUGGGUGGCAAGGCCGCUCCGUCCUGGCAAGCCUGCCCCUGCGCACUCGCGCGGUGGAUGCAUACAGGUGGCCGGUGCUCCCUUCCUUGAGAAUGGAGGCCGCUUGGCGGGAGACACCCAAGGGAACGGCAGCACCUUGACAGGUUUGCUUCACUGCCCUUGGCUCCUGCCUUGCCGGAGUCUGUGUGUCCCUCAAGAGGGGCCGGUCUGCAGGGUACAGAGGGACCAAGGGAUGUCCCCCCAGGGUACAGAUGGUCCAGGAGGAUGCUUUGCAGCUUCUCAGUGGGCAUUGCCCCAGGGAGGCUGGUCUGCCCGAUGCCAGGUGCUCAGGGAUGGAGGAUCCAAGCCUAAGCCACUUCCAGGCCUGUCAGGGCAACCUCCUCGGCUCCUGCAGCACAAUCUUUCUGGUUCACUGCAGUAACCCUGGGUCCAGAACAGCCCUGACAUGUCACAGCCCCUCCCCGUUCAAAAGCUGGUCUCUCAGCUCGUCCUCACAAGCACCUGUGAGGCAGGAGAUGCCCUCCUUUGCAGGUGAGACACGGAGGCACAGAGGUCAGGCUGCUAAGGGUGCCACCAGGGUCUCCCCCACGCCCACAGAACCACCUCCUGCCUUCCACAGCAGCUGUGUGUGGGAGGAGGACAGUUGUGGGUGAUUGCAGGCCAGGUGUGAUGCUGAGCAGGAGAGGAGGAGCACAGGUGAAAGGAGCUUGUGUCCCAUAGGCUGGGGGUUUCUUUUUCCAAUGCAAUGUGAUCUCCCCCUACCCCCUGUCAGACCCCCUUGGGCUGCUGGUGAAGAAGUGUGAGUAACUAGACUCCUCAGUUAGUGACAGGCUUUUUUCCCCAAGCCAGACAAUGGGGAGUUCACAAAGGAGUUUGGAUCUUAGAUCAUAAAGUGAGUCCCUUGCUUAGUGUUCUGCAGGAUGUGGUUUAGUUUCAGGAUCUGAGUUCUAACUGCCAAUCUCAGGCCACUGGCGGUAGUGGGAGGCUGCUGUGGGUCCAGCCUGGGGGCCUGGCCACCCAUACAGUGUCAGAUUAGAGCCAAAGGCCACAGAGCUGGGUGGAGGGCGCUGCUUCCUUGUGGGAGCCUAUGACAUUUUGCCCGUUACGUAGAAAUCCAAGCUAACUGGCCCCAGAGUUGCUGCCAGGUUGAAGUGUCCACUCCGAGACGUUUUGGGCAGAAGCUUGCAGAUUUGCCCCUCCAUUUAACUUAGGGGACAAGGGCUAUGCUGACCUCCCCAACAGUGGCCUGGGGCAGGGAGCGGGAGAAGUGGCAGGCCCUGUGGGAAGGGCUGCAGGAAAGGAGGGGCCAGAAGUGGGGCCAGGCAGCAGUUCACCCACCCCAGCGCCCCUUUAGUCAGGACCUGCAGUGUCCAGCAUGGUGGGCUCAAGCCCCACGUGGCCAUCAGACACCUGGAAAGUGCCCCGUCCAAAUCGACAUGUGCCACAAAUGAAAACACUUGAUUUCAAAGACUCAGUAUGAAAAAUCAAAUCAAAUCUCUCACCGAUGAUUUUUUUAUAUUGAUUGCAUUUGGAAUUAUAUUUUGGAUUUAAGGUAAAUAAAGUGUAUUACUGUAUUUAAUGUUACCUGUUUCUUUUUACAUUUUAUUUUAUUUUAUUUUUAUUUAUUUAUUUUUAGGCAGAGUCUCACUCUGUCAGCCAGGCUGGUGUGAUCUCAGCUCACUGCAACCUCCACCUCCCGGGUUCAAUCGGUUCUUGUGCCUCAGCCUCCCGAGUAGCUGGGACUACAGGCGCGCACCACCACACCCGGCUAAUUUUUGUAUUUUUAGUAAAGACAGGGUUUUGCCAUGUUGGCCAGGCUGGUCUUGAACUCCUGGCCUCAAGCUAUCCACCUACCUCAGCCUCCCAAAGUGCUGGGAUUACAGGCAUGAGUCACCACGCCCAGCCUCCUUUUAUUUUAUUUUAUUUUUUAUUUUUUAUUUUUUCCUUUUAUUUUAAAGUUAAAAAGUAGCUCAGAGAUAGUGAUUUUAGGUGAAGGAUUUGGGCUGUGGCCUCUGUGCCCAAAACUUCUGUCUUCAAUUAGAUCCUUUCAUUUCUACAAAGCGGGCACCACAGCCUCACAUCAUUUGAUCAUUUGAUCUUUCUUUUUUUUUUUUUUCCGGAGACAGAGUCUCGCUCUUUCGCCC
rnacentral:lncRNA from 1 species